rnacentral:tRNA from 6 species
GGAUCGGUAGUUCAGCUGGUUAGAAUGCCGCCCUGUCACGGCGGAGGUCGCGGGUUCGAGUCCCGUCCGGUCCGCAA